rnacentral:rRNA from 1 species
AAGCUCGUAGUUGAAUUUCGGGACUAGUACGUUGGUCGUGCCUUAGGUACGUACUGGUGUUACUGGUUCCUACCUUCUGACGAACCAUUAUGUCAUAAUUUGGUGUGGUGGGGAAUCAGGACUGUUACUUUGAAAAAAUUAGAGUGUUUAAAGCAGGCUCGCGCUUGAAUACAUUAGCAUGGAACAAUGAAAUAGGACGUUGAUCCUAUUUUGUUGGUUCCUAGGAUUGACGUAAUGAUUAAUAGGGAUAGUUGGG